AUUGAACGCUGGCGGCAGGCCUAACACAUGCAAGUCGAGCGCGAAAAUUCCUUCGGGGAUGAGUAGAGCGGCGGACGGGUGAGUAAUGCGCAGAAAUCUGCCCAGUAGUGGGGGACAACCUGGUGAAAACCAGGCUAAUACCGCAUACGCCUACGGGGAAAGGCAGGGAGUCUUCGGACCUUGCGCUAUUGGAUGAGUCUGCGUCGGAUUAGCUUGUUGGUGAGGUAAUGGCUCACCAAGGCGACGAUCCGUAGCUGGUCUGAGAGGAUGAUCAGCCACACUGGGACUGAGACACGGCCCAGACUCCUACGGGAGGCAGCAGUGGGGAAUAUUGGACAAUGGGCGAAAGCCUGAUCCAGCCAUGCCGCGUGUGUGAAGAAGGCUCUAGGGUUGUAAAGCACUUUUCAGUGGGGAAGAAAGCUUGUUAGCUAAUAACUGACGAGUGUGACAUUACCCACAGAAGAAGCACCGG
rnacentral:rRNA from 1 species